CAGGCUUAACACAUGCAAGUCGAGGGGCAUCAGGAAGAAAGCUUGCUUUCUUUGCUGGCGACCGGCGCACGGGUGAGUAACACGUAUCCAACCUGCCCUUUACUCGGGGAUAGCCUUUCGAAAGAAAGAUUAAUACCCGAUGGCAUAAUGAUUCCGCAUGGUUUCAUUAUUAAAGGAUUCCGGUAAAGGAUGGGGAUGCGUUCCAUUAGGUUGUUGGUGAGGUAACGGCUCACCAAGCCUUCGAUGGAUAGGGGUUCUGAGAGGAAGGUCCCCCACAUUGGAACUGAGACACGGUCCAAACUCCUACGGGAGGCAGCAGUGAGGAAUAUUGGUCAAUGGGCGCUAGCCUGAACCAGCCAAGUAGCGUGAAGGAUGAAGGCUCUAUGGGUCGUAAACUUCUUUUAUAUAAGAAUAAAGUGCAGUAUGUAUACUGUUUUGUAUGUAUUAUAUGAAUAAGGAUCGGCUAACUCCGUGCCAGCAGCCGCGGUAAUACGGAGGAUCCGAGCGUUAUCCGGAUUUUAUUGGGUUAAAGGGAGCGUAGGUGGACUGGUAAGUCAGUUGUGAAAGUUUGCGGCUCAACCGUAAAAAUAGCAGUUGAUACUGUCAGUCUUGAGUACAGUAGAGGUGGGCGGAAUUCGUGGUGUAGCGGUGAAAUGCUUAGAUAUCACGAAGAACUCCGAUUGCGAAGGCAGCUCACUGGACUGCAACUGACACUGAUGCUCGAAAGUGUGGGUAUCAAACAGGAUUAGAUACCCUGGUAGUCCACACAGUAAACGAUGAAUACUCGCUGUUUGCGAUAUACAGUAAGCGGCCAAGCGAAAGCAUUAAGUAUUCCACCUGGGGAGUACGCCGGCAACGGUGAAACUCAAAGGAAUUGACGGGGGCCCGCACAAGCGGAGGAACAUGUGGUUUAAUUCGAUGAUACGCGAGGAACCUUACCCGGGCUUAAAUUGCAGUGGAAUGAUGUGGAAACAUGUCAGUGAGCAAUCACCGCUGUGAAGGUGCUGCAUGGUUGUCGUCAGCUCGUGCCGUGAGGUGUCGGCUUAAGUGCCAUAACGAGCGCAACCCUUAUCUUUAGUUACUAACAGGUCAUGCUGAGGACUCUAGAGAGACUGCCGUCGUAAGAUGUGAGGAAGGUGGGGAUGACGUCAAAUCAGCACGGCCCUUACGUCCGGGGCUACACACGUGUUACAAUGGGGGGUACAGAAGGCAGCUAGCGGGUGACCGUAUGCUAAUCCCAAAAGCCUCUCUCAGUUCGGAUCGAAGUCUGCAACCCGACUUCGUGAAGCUGGAUUCGCUAGUAAUCGCGCAUCAGCCACGGCGCGGUGAAUACGUUCCCGGGCCUUGUACACACCGCCCGUCAAGCCAUGGGAGCCGGGGGUACCUGAAGUACGUAACCGCAAGGAUCGUCCUAGGGUAAAACUGGUGACUGGGGCUAA
rnacentral:rRNA from 1 species